UUGAGUUGCCUUUCUGGCUGCAGCUUCAGCUGCUUCCCUAGCUAUUGCAGCUCUUGUCCUAGGUGAUGUCACUUGGACUGGUUUAGGAGGAGAGUCUUUCUUGGUCUUCUUCCUUCCUAGCUUGACCGCUCCUUUCUUGGUCCUCUUCCUGUGAAACAAGAUCAGUAGUUAAGUCAUGACAAUACUUAGGAUUAGAGGUCAGUAUGUGCACAACAUACCUCUUCUUGUUCCCAUUCAACCCAAACUUCCAACUUCCCUUCCUAUGACCCUUUUCACCAC
rnacentral:lncRNA from 1 species